GUAACUGGGGUUAUCGAUGAGUGGUGCGUGCCAUUUUCCCUUGUAAGCUGGAUUCCUCUUCAUUGGCCUCUUCCAUUCACCACAACCAGGGGCAGUCACACACUUGGGAUUGUCAAUCUUUGGGGCCUCCCACUCACCAUCCUCCUCGUCAUCCCAAUCCUCUGGCUUUGUGGCUUCAGGAUCCUCUACCUCCUCAGGUUCAUCAUCCAACCAUCCUUCAGGUUUCUCUGCUUCCUCAUCUUCAAUUUCCAUGGGUGCAUCCUCAUCCCAAUCAUCAGGUUUAACUGCAUUAGGAUCCGGAAUUUUGGCUCUCUCAUCCCAAUCCUCAG
rnacentral:lncRNA from 1 species